GCUGCUUCAAGUGUCAGGCCAACUCAAAGAUGCUGUCUAUGGGAGAUACACCUGAAAUACCCAAUGGAGAGAAAGUGUCUUCUAGUAUCACCAAGGAAGGAGUCAUCCAGUCUCAUGGGUUUAAGGUCCCUCCAUAAGCUGAUGAAAAGGAAGAUCCGGAUCUAGUCUGCAUGUGGAUGGCUACUGGGAAAGCCAAGUAUACUAAUGCAUUUCCUGAAGAGUAAAACUGAGCAGUGGAAGAUGGAACCAUUCAUUCAUUCAAUACAUGUUUAUUGAGGACCUACAGGACACAGCCUUUGCACCAGGGACACUCACAGACAGAUAAACAAAUCAUUACGGUGCUUUGGGAUGAGAGCUGCAGCCGAGGAAAGCACCAUAAGUUUUGGAUAUACUGUCAGUGCCAUACAAUUUGAAGCUCUAACCUCUCCACCAGACAAGCG